CGUUCCUUAGUAACAAUAUAAAUUAAUUUUCACAAGUAAUAUAACUAUAAACGAAUUAUGCCAAAGAACAGGUACCCAAGGAUAGGAAAAAAAUUGCUUCCAAACAAUAUAUAGUUCUCUCGUGUGACAGGUUGGUAAGAUAUGGCGCAAUGAAUAUUAUCUACUUGGACACUUUUUGACAGUUUACCAAGCAGUUUACAACGAGAAACGAAGAUAAGAGAAUAUUGCUGUACCGUCUACCGUGCCACUCUCGUUUGACGUAGGCUUUGAUUUUGUUGCUAAGCUAGUAGAAGCAGAUCGCGACUAACUGUUUUCCAUGCACUAGUACAAGACUAGCUAAAAAUUCUAGCAUAUCAUGUCCUCAAGUGGCCGAGUAACAAAAUUGUUGACGGACUUAUUAGACCUACGUGCAUCGUGCAUCCAUUAUUUUAAGUUUAGGUUUGGGGCGAGGUUUGGGGUUUUUGCCAUGCCAUGCCAAAGCCAAAGCCCUCUUACAGCGACUUUGGGAGUGCAGCGGGCGUGAAAGCGACUUGUCUAACUCGGCAUAGACACGUUUCUUUACAAUCCCAUCCCUUGCCUGAUUUUCCUCCCCAUAAAAUAGUGAUGUGGGUUAUGUUCUCUUAAAAUUUUUGUGAACAUCAUUUGUCACAAGGGCUAGCUGACUGACAUAAAAAAAAUGCGAAAAAUGUAAUUAUCUUAACACAUUUGAAUCAACUAAAUGUUCGUGUAUUGUGCAUUUUCCCUUUGAGCUACAUCCUUUUUAGAAAACUACAGUUAGUUACAUACGAUACAACAAGAGCAAAAAAAAACAGCAAACAAAACAUAACGUUGGUUAAAGCGAGGCGACGUGCGUAACGUGUCGUAAUUCAGAGAUGAAAAGGAAAAUAACGGAUUUGCUAAUCAUCAAUUUCCCCGGGCGCCGUCGUGAAACGUAAUGGUUUGUGAUGUAUUUACAGAAGAGCCUCACACGUACAGAAAAUACGUGUUCUUCAAAUGAAAAAAGACGCCACAGGGAAAGUUCUUUGUAACAAAACUUUUCAGCAUGCUGGAGAUCAGAGGCCUUAGUUGGACUAGAACGAACCAUGGAAUUCUUAGAAUUCAAAAAACGUCGCCGCUGUCGGGAUGGGGGGGAAUGUUAGUCGACA